GGAAAGAGCUGCAGAACAAUAGCAAUCACCAGAUCAGAACUACACCUCCCUGUUCCAUCACACUGACUGAGGAGCUCAGAGGUCCAAACUCUGUUCAUAAUCGGACAUGCCAGCUGACUGCAGGAGGGCAGGUUCAGACUUCUGUCUCCCACACCAUCAGAGUGAAAGGUGUUAUACCCACAACUUCCUCUACCUCUGUAUUGAAAUCCUCUCCCCGAAUGAAAACUCUCACCCCUGCUUCCUCAUACUCAACCUCAAGCCCCUCAGGUACAGCAUGAUCCCCUCAGUUUCUAAUAGUUAUGCUACAGUCCUUCAAAUUGUGCAAUAUGCUACUUUCUAGUUUUAAAAGUCUUUUUUUCAUGGAGCAGUUUUAUCCAAAAUACCUUAAGGGUUACACUAACUUUAGUAAGCUUAGUGGACACUAACUGGCAUGGCGUCUCUUGACUUAAUAGGUCACUGUACUGACAUGAUUAUACCUUACCCCAUCACCAUCUUUCUCCCUCCCUCCUUCUACCAAUCACUCUCUCUCUCCAUCCCUCUUCGCCCCAUCACUCUCUCUCCCCCUUCUCCUCAUCUCUCUCUCUCUGAAUCUCUAUCUCUCCCCUGUAUUCUAUCCUUUCCUUCAUUCAGUUUCUCUAGUUGUUCCUCUGGUUGCUGGAGUUGUUGUCUCGGUCAGUCUGUUGGCUGCUGCAUUGAUGAUAAUUGUGGUGAUAUGCAAGAGAAGGACAAAUGCUGGAGGAGAGCCAACACACAAAUCA